rnacentral:rRNA from 1 species
GACGUAGGGCGCAAGCGUUGUCCGGAUUUAUUGGGCGUAAAGAGCUCGUAGGCGGCUUGUUGCGUCUCCGUGAAAACCCGCAGCUCAACUGCGGGCUUGCGGACGAUACGGGCAGGCUGGAGUUCGGUAGGGGAGAACGGAAUUCCUGGUGUAGCGGUGAAAUGACGCAGAUAUCAGGAGGAACACCGGUGGCGAAGGCGGUUCUCUGGGCAUGUCCUGACGCUGAGGAGCGAAAGUGUGGGGGAGCGAACAGG